AAGGCUGAGACAGGAGAAUCACUUGAACCUGGGGCGGAGGUUGCAGUGAGCCAAGAUCGCGCCACUGCACUCCAACCUGGGUGACAGAGCAAGACUCUGUCUCAGGAAAAAAAAAAAAAGUACUGCUUCAUUGUCAAGGAACUAUAAAAUACAGAAAAGUAUAAAGAAGAAAAAACAAUUACCCCAUAAUCUUACAAUACAGAAAUGGCCAAAAUUCAUAUCCUGAAACUCCUCAAUUUUUAAGCACCCAAAAAACAGCCAGAAGGCAGCAUUAUGUCACCCUUUGUGAGAAGCAUGUAGAAACCACACACAGGACAGGAGAGGAAGGAACGUUUUGCUUCUCCUGUGUUUCAGGAUUGUAUGAAAAUCAGGUUGCCUGUAGUUUCAGGACACUCUCUACAGGUGUACUUUUGACUUUGCAAAGCCCUGAACACGCCUUGGCCAGCGAUAGGAGGAGAUGCUGAAUGCCUCACAUUCACCGUCAGCAGCCCUCAGGUUUCAGCCUUCCUUGCUAACUGCCAGAAUCUUCAACUAUUGUCACUGUGAACUUUCUUUUUAUCUUGGAAACCUCAAACAUCAUAGUGUGUGACUUCUGGUGUAUUCAUACCAAAUAGAUCCAAGCAAAGCAAACACAAAUUCAUGUGGGUACCUUUGUGGGUGAGGGCAAGAACAGAGAGAGCUUAGGGGCGGUGAAGCAUGUUCAGAAAGGACGCGGUGGUCUGGAAUAUGUUGCCUUCUCUCCCUUCCUCCUUCCUUCCCUCCCUCCCUCGCUUCUUUCAUGUAUUUAGCACAUAUUUACUUAUUGAGAAUCUACUCUGUGCUAGGUCCUGUUCUGAGCACAACAGAUAAAAACUCUGAGCUUGCAGAGCUUAUGUUUUAGUGGCAGCAGCAGAGAAUGCUCGGUCAAUCACUGAACACGGCAUCUAGCGUCUGGAACAACGGUGAUCUUGCGAUGGAGCGGACCAUGAGUGGAUUGCAAGUUGGAUUACAUCCAGUCCCAGGCUAUUCUCUUGGGGUCUGCAGUAGGAGAUUCUGUCAAAGCCCCUCCAUUUCCUCUGUUCUGGCAUUAGAACAUCUGGUAGAUCCCCAGGAUUCUAGGGUUGCACAAAGCCCAGGAAAGGUGUGGAGGGGUGGCUGGGCUGGCCUUGAAUCUGCUGUCAGGCCUCUGAGCCCAAGCCUGCACAUAUACAUCCAGAUGGCCUGAAGUAACUGAAGAAUCACGGAAUAAGUGAAAAUGGCCGGUUCCUGCCUUAACCGAUGACAUUACCUUGUGAAAUUCCUUCUCCUGGCUCGGAAGCUCCCCCACUGAGCACCUUGUAACCCCCGCCCCUGCCUGCCAGAGAACAACCCCUUUGACUGUAAUUUUUCACUACCUACCCAAGUCCUAUAAAACGGCCCCACCCCUAUUUCCCUUCGCUGACUCAUUUUUUGGAUUCGGCCUGCCUGCACCCAGGUGAAAUAAACAGC
rnacentral:lncRNA from 1 species